ACAACAUUAGGACCGUCGGUCUACCAAGCAAUAUCAUCCGUUCGGUGGAAGAUCUUUCUUCCGCCGU
rnacentral:pre_miRNA from 1 species